rnacentral:rRNA from 1 species
AGGGGUGCUAGCUUGCUAGAACCUACACACAGGUGCUGCACGGCUGUCGUCAGCUCGUGUCGUGAGAUGUGGUUAGUCCGCAACGAGCGCAACCCUCGUCCUUAGUUGCUAACAGUUCGGCUGAGCACUCUAGGGAGACUGCCUUCGCAAGGAGGAGGAAGGUGAGGACGACGUCAAGUCAUCAUGGCCCCUACGGCCAGGGCUACACACGUGCUACAAUGGGGCGUACAGAGAGCUGCGAUACCGCGAGGUGGAGCCAAUCUCUUAAAGCGUCUCUCAGUUCGGAUUGUUCUCUGCAACUCGAGAACAUGAAGCUGGAAUCACUAGUAAUCGCAGAUCAGCUAUACUGCGGUGAAUACGUUCCCGGGUCUU